CGGCGGACGGGUGAGUAAUGCCUAGGAAUCUGCCUGGUAGUGGGGGACAACGUUUCGAAAGGAACGCUAAUACCGCAUACGUCCUACGGGAGAAAGCAGGGGACCUUCGGGCCUUGCGCUAUCAGAUGAGCCUAGGUCGGAUUAGCUAGUUGGUGAGGUAAUGGCUCACCAAGGCGACGAUCCGUAACUGGUCUGAGAGGAUGAUCAGUCACAUGGAACUGAGACACGGUCCAGACUCCACGGGAGGCAGCAG
rnacentral:rRNA from 1 species